rnacentral:rRNA from 1 species
AGCGUACACGGUGGAUGCCCUGGCAGUCAGAGGCGAUGAAGGACGUGCUAAUCUGCGAUAAGCGUCGGUAAGGUGAUAUGAACCGUUAUAACCGGCGAUUUCCGAAUGGGGAAACCCAGUGUGAUUCGUCACACUAUCAUUAACUGAAUCCAUAGGUUAAUGAGGCGAACCGGGGGAACUGAAACAUCUAAGUACCCCGAGGAAAAGAAAUCAACCGAGAUUCCCCCAGUAGCGGCGAGCGAACGGGGAGCAGCCCAGAGCCUGAAUCAGUGUGUGUGUUAGUGGAAGCGUCUGGAAAGGCGCGCGAUACAGGGUGACAGCCCCGUACACAAAAAUGCACAUGCUGUGAGCUCGAUGAGUAGGGCGGGACACGUGGUAUCCUGUCUGAAUAUGGGGGGACCAUCCUCCAAGGCUAAAUACUCCUGACUGACCGAUAGUGAACCAGUACCGUGAGGGAAAGGCGAAAAGAACCCCGGCGAGGGGAGUGAAAAAGAACCUGAAACCGUGUACGUACAAGCAGUGGGAGCACGCUUAGGCGUGUGACUGCGUACCUUUUGUAUAAUGGGUCAGCGACUUAUAUUCUGUAGCAAGGUUAACCGAAUAGGGGAGCCGAAGGGAAACCGAGUCUUAACUGGGCGUUAAGUUGCAGGGUAUAGACCCGAAACCCGGUGAUCUAGCCAUGGGCAGGUUGAAGGUUGGGUAACACUAACUGGAGGACCGAACCGACUAAUGUUGAAAAAUUAGCGGAUGACUUGUGGCUGGGGGUGAAAGGCCAAUCAAACCGGGAGAUAGCUGGUUCUCCCCGAAAGCUAUUUAGGUAGCGCCUCGUGAAUUCAUCUCCGGGGGUAGAGCACUGUUUCGGCAAGGGGGUCAUCCCGACUUACCAACCCGAUGCAAACUGCGAAUACCGGAGAAUGUUAUCACGGGAGACACACGGCGGGUGCUAACGUCCGUCGUGAAGAGGGAAACAACCCAGACCGCCAGCUAAGGUCCCAAAGUCAUGGUUAAGUGGGAAACGAUGUGGGAAGGCCCAGACAGCCAGGAUGUUGGCUUAGAAGCAGCCAUCAUUUAAAGAAAGCGUAAUAGCUCACUGGUCGAGUCGGCCUGCGCGGAAGAUGUAACGGGGCUAAACCAUGCACCGAAGCUGCGGCAGCGACGCUUAUGCGUUGUUGGGUAGGGGAGCGUUCUGUAAGCCUGUGAAGGUGUACUGUGAGGUAUGCUGGAGGUAUCAGAAGUGCGAAUGCUGACAUAAGUAACGAUAAAGCGGGUGAAAAGCCCGCUCGCCGGAAGACCAAGGGUUCCUGUCCAACGUUAAUCGGGGCAGGGUGAGUCGACCCCUAAGGCGAGGCCGAAAGGCGUAGUCGAUGGGAAACAGGUUAAUAUUCCUGUACUUGGUGUUACUGCGAAGGGGGGACGGAGAAGGCUAUGUUGGCCGGGCGACGGUUGUCCCGGUUUAAGCGUGUAGGCUGGUUUUCCAGGCAAAUCCGGAAAAUCAAGGCUGAGGCGUGAUGACGAGGCACUACGGUGCUGAAGCAACAAAUGCCCUGCUUCCAGGAAAAGCCUCUAAGCAUCAGGUAACAUCAAAUCGUACCCCAAACCGACACAGGUGGUCAGGUAGAGAAUACCAAGGCGCUUGAGAGAACUCGGGUGAAGGAACUAGGCAAAAUGGUGCCGUAACUUCGGGAGAAGGCACGCUGAUAUGUAGGUGAAGUCCCUCGCGGAUGGAGCUGAAAUCAGUCGAAGAUACCAGCUGGCUGCAACUGUUUAUUAAAAACACAGCACUGUGCAAACACGAAAGUGGACGUAUACGGUGUGACGCCUGCCCGGUGCCGGAAGGUUAAUUGAUGGGGUCAGCGCAAGCGAAGCUCUUGAUCGAAGCCCCGGUAAACGGCGGCCGUAACUAUAACGGUCCUAAGGUAGCGAAAUUCCUUGUCGGGUAAGUUCCGACCUGCACGAAUGGCGUAAUGAUGGCCAGGCUGUCUCCACCCGAGACUCAGUGAAAUUGAACUCGCUGUGAAGAUGCAGUGUACCCGCGGCAAGACGGAAAGACCCCGUGAACCUUUACUAUAGCUUGACACUGAACAUUGAGCCUUGAUGUGUAGGAUAGGUGGGAGGCUUUGAAGUGUGGACGCCAGUCUGCAUGGAGCCGACCUUGAAAUACCACCCUUUAAUGUUUGAUGUUCUAACGUUGACCCGUAAUCCGGGUUGCGGACAGUGUCUGGUGGGUAGUUUGACUGGGGCGGUCUCCUCCUAAAGAGUAACGGAGGAGCACGAAGGUUGGCUAAUCCUGGUCGGACAUCAGGAGGUUAGUGCAAUGGCAUAAGCCAGCUUGACUGCGAGCGUGACGGCGCGAGCAGGUGCGAAAGCAGGUCAUAGUGAUCCGGUGGUUCUGAAUGGAAGGGCCAUCGCUCAACGGAUAAAAGGUACUCCGGGGAUAACAGGCUGAUACCGCCCAAGAGUUCAUAUCGACGGCGGUGUUUGGCACCUCGAUGUCGGCUCAUCACAUCCUGGGGCUGAAGUAGGUCCCAAGGGUAUGGCUGUUCGCCAUUUAAAGUGGUACGCGAGCUGGGUUUAGAACGUCGUGAGACAGUUCGGUCCCUAUCUGCCGUGGGCGCUGGAGAAUUGAGGGGGGCUGCUCCUAGUACGAGAGGACCGGAGUGGACGCAUCACUGGUGUUCGGGUUGUCAUGCCAAUGGCACUGCCCGGUAGCUAAAUGCGGAAGAGAUAAGUGCUGAAAGCAUCUAAGCACGAAACUUGCCCCGAGAUGAGUUCUCCCUGACUCCUUGA